CCGGCCCCGGCCGGGUCCCGGCGCCGCGGACUCACCGGAAAGGCCCGGAUCCGCAUCUUGGUGUCCUUCCGGCUGCCCGUGCCUUUGCUCAGGAUUCACGGUUGGAUGUGAUCUUGGACAGUGAUUUACACUCCCUAUCUCAAUAGCCAACAGGCCUGAUCUUUGCCUGGGGUUAGAGAAUGAAGACAACGGCAGUCAGAUCCUCUCCUCGGAACUCAAGACUAAGGUGACCGCAGGCCAAGAGGACAAAGUGGUUGCUCACACAGAGCCCUUUGACAUGUGAUGAAGAGGCACCUUUAACCUCCCAAGCUCUCCCACGACAAACAAAAUAAAUGCACAAAAGCACAGUGAGCCCAAACUAGCCAUCUGUGCAGGGAUGAGACCGUUCACCAUGGGGCAGUAACAUUGCUAUGUAAAACAUGUGAGAAAAGAACAUGACCGUGACCUCUAAGCAUGUGUCUUACUUGAGUCAACAUGGGAAAAAGAAACCACAAGUUCCAUGGAAAUUAACCAAGACUCCCAAGAAUGAAGUAUGACCUUGGGCUCCUUUUAGACCCUCAUCACAGGAGUGAGGAAGUCACCUGAGUCUGGCACACAUUUUACAAUUAUGAUACAUCUCAGUUUGGAUGAACUGUAUCCAGGAAGUGCCCAAUGCCACUGUGACUUGCAGCCACUAUCUUGGAUGACAGAGAUAGCGCAAUCACUGGAAAGCAGCUUUGCUCUCUGGGCUUCAUUUCUCAGCUACACUUGACUAGGUAUUGCCAAAGACUUGGGAGCAGAAGGUAUGUCUGUCCUUUCCAAACCAAGGUAUAAGAAAUACAUGUGAUUUUUCAUUCUGUCUGUCCCUUUUCACCAGUUUGAUGCAAAUGCACUUGGAGCCUGUUAAUGAUCAUACAAAGGAAGGAGCUGGGCUUUGAGUCAUAACUUUGAGGAAAGGCUGCUCUCAGUCAGAAAUGUUUGUUUUGGAUAUUACCUAAGCAAGAAAUAAACGUCUUUUUGUUUA